CGUAGGGUGCAAGCGUUGUCCGGAAUUAUUGGGCGUAAAGAGCUCGUAGGCGGUCUGUCGCGUCUGCUGUGAAAACUCAGGGCUUAACCCUGAGCUUGCAGUGGGUACGGGCAGACUAGAGUGCGGUAGGGGAGACUGGAAUUCCUGGUGUAGCGGUGAAAUGCGCAGAUAUCAGGAGGAACACCGGUGGCGAAGGCGGGUCUCUGGGCCGUAACUGACGCUGAGGAGCGAAAGCAUGGGGAGCGAACAGGAUUAGAUACCCUGGUAGUCCAUGCCGUAAACGUUGGGCGCUAGGUGUGGGCUCAUUCCACGAGUUCCGUGCCGCAGCUAACGCAUUAAGCGCCCCGCCUGGGGAGUACGGCCGCAAGGCUA
rnacentral:rRNA from 1 species